UACGGAGGGUGCGAGCGUUGUCCGGAAUCACUGGGCGUAAAGGGCGCGUAGGCGGCCAACUAAGUCAUACGUGAAAUCCCUCGGCUUAACCGGGGAACUGCGUCUGAUACUGGAUGGCUUGAGUUCGGGAGAGGGAUGCGGAAUUCCAGGUGUAGCGGUGAAAUGCGUAGAUAUCUGGAGGAACACCGGUGGCGAAGGCGGCAUCCUGGACCGAUACUGACGCUGAGGAGCGAAAGCCAGGGGAGCAAACGGG
rnacentral:rRNA from 1 species